UUUGAAACCCYUUCGACGAGUCGAGUUGUUUGGGAAUGCAGCUCAAAAKGGGUGGUAAAUUUCAUCUAAAGCUAAAUACCGGCUGGAGACCGAUAGCGCACAAGUAGAGUGAUCGAAAGAUGAAAAGCACUUUGGAAAGAGAGUUAAAAAGCACGUGAAAUUGUUGAAAGGGAAGCGCUUGCGACCAGACCUGCCCGUGGGCGAUCAACCRCCGUUCUCGGUGGUGCACUCGUCGGCGAGCAGGCCAGCAUCGGUUUGGGCGGUCGGACAAAGGCCUUGGGAAUGUAGCUCCCCUCGGGGAGUCUUAUAGCCCUCGGUGCAAUGCGGCCAGCCCGGAUCGAGGACCGCGCUUCGGCUAGGAUGCUGGCGUAAUAGUUGCAAGCGACCCGUCUUGAAACACGGACCAAGGAGUCUAACAUCUAUGCGAGUGUUUGGGUGUCAAACCCAUGCGCGCAAUGAAAGUGAACGGAGGUGAGAACCCGUUAGGGUGCAUCAUCGACCGAUUCUKUUUUCUUCGGAUGGAUUUGAGUACGAGCAUAAAUGUUGGGACCCGAAAGAUGGUGAACUAUGCCUGAAUAGGGUGAAGCCAGAGGAAACUCUGGUGGAGGCUCGCAGCGGUUCUGACGUGCAAAUCGAUCGUCAAAUUUGGGUAUAGGGGCGAAAGACUAAUCGAACCAU
rnacentral:rRNA from 1 species